CCUACGAGUGGCAGCAGUGAGGAAUAUUGGUCAAUGGGCGCGAGCCUGAACCAGCCAAGCCGCGUGAAGGAUGACUGUCCUACGGGUUGUAAACUUCUUUUAUAAAGGAAUAAAGUGAGGCACGUGUGCCUUUUUGUAUGUACUUUAUGAAUAAGGAUCGGCUAACUCCGUGCCAGCAGCCGCGGUAAUACGGAGGAUCCGAGCGUUAUCCGGAUUUAUUGGGGUUAAAGGGUGCGUAGGUGGGUUGUUAAGUCAGUUGUGAAAGUUUGGGGGUCAACCGUAAAAUUGCAAUUGAUACUGGCAGUCUUGAGUACAGUUGAGGUAGGCGGAAUUCGUGGUGUAGCGGUGAAAUGCUUAGAUAUCACGAAGAACUCCGAUUGCGAAGGCAGCUUACUAAACUGCCACUGACAUUGAUGCUCGAAAGUGUGGGUAUCAAACAGGAUUAGAUACCCCGGUAGUC
rnacentral:rRNA from 1 species